rnacentral:misc_RNA from 1 species
GAUGAAGAACGCAGCGAAAUGCGAUAAGUAAUGCGAAUUGCAGAAUUUCCGUGAGUCAUCGAAUCUUUGAACGCACAUUGCGCCCACUGGUAUUCCGGUGGGCAUGCCUGUUCGAGCGUCAUUACAACCCUCAAGCUCUGCUUGGUGUUGGGCCCCGCCGCCCCGGCGGGCCCUAAAGUCAGUGGCGGUGCCGUCCGGCUCCGAGCGUAGUAAUUUUUCUCGCUUUGGAGGCCCGGGCGCGUGCUUGCCAUCAACCCCCAAUUUUUUUCAGGUUGACCUCGGAUCAGGUAGGGAUACCCGCUGAACUUAAGCAUAUCAAUAAGCGGAGGA